rnacentral:rRNA from 1 species
GACGAACGCUGGCGGCGUGCUUAACACAUGCAAGUCGAGCGGUAAGGCCCUUUCGGGGGUACACGAGCGGCGAACGGGUGAGUAACACGUAGGUGACCUGCCCUCAGCUCUGGGAUAAGCCUGGGAAACCGGGUCUAAUACUGGAUAUGACUCCAUGACGCAUGUUGUGGGGUGGAAAGCCUUGUGCGGCUGAGGAUGGGCCCGCGGCCUAUCAGCUUGUUGGUGGGGNGAUGGCCUACCAAGGCGACGACGGGUAGCCGGCCUGAGAGGGCGACCGGCCACACUGGGACUGAGACACGGCCCAGACUCCUACGGGAGGCAGCAGUGGGGAAUCUUGCGCAAAUGGGCGAAAGCCUGACGCAGCGACGCCGCGUGAGGGAUGACGGCCU